GGCAAUAAGAUAUUUUGGGAGCACUCAGAACACAAGUGAAAUCCACUAUAAAAGAUGGCUACCACAUACCAACUAGCUCUUGAUAUAGUGGGAACUCAAGCAAAUUUCUUCCCGGCUAUCAAACAGGCCACGAUAGACCUUGAAUCCAAACUGGACCUCAAAAGAACCUCACACAUUUUUCUGAGAAGUGACUGCAAUCAAGCCUUGUUUCUGCCUUAGCUUGUUGAAAUUUUUUAGAUCAAAGUUCAUCUUGAAUUUCGCUGUGAUUGUUGACUAUAAUGGCAGAUGGAUUGAACCAUUACUUUCAUUACAUUUGUCAUGUAGGAUGCAUUUUGGUGAUUUUUGUUUCCUUUAUAGGUUUAAUAUGUUUGAUUAUAUCUCUUCAUCUUUCCCCAUCUCUUUCUUUCUAUAGUUUGGAUUUUUGGGAACAGAGAUUCUCUUUUUUGAAUGCUUUGAAUUUUGAAGCCUGAUAUGUAUGGCUUAGGCCCUAUGUGUGAUCUGAACUAUUUUUGCUUUUUGGU